rnacentral:rRNA from 1 species
GCGACCCCAGGUCAGGCGGGGCGACCCGCUGAGUUUAAGCAUAUCAAUAAGCGGAGGAAAAGAAACUUACA